rnacentral:rRNA from 1 species
UACGGAGGGGGCUAGCGUUGUUCGGAAUUACUGGGCGUAAAGCGCACGUAGGCGGCUUUGUAAGUUAGAGGUGAAAGCCAGAGCUCAACUCUGGAACUGCCUUUAAGACUGCAUCGCUUGAAUCAUGGAGAGGUUAGUGGAAUUCCGAGUGUAGAGGUGAAAUUCGUAGAUAUUCGGAAGAACACCAGUGGCGAAGGCGACUAACUGGACAUGUAUUGACGCUGAGGUGCGAAAGCGUGGGGAGCAAACAGG